rnacentral:rRNA from 1 species
GACGAACGCUGGCGGCGUGCUUAACACAUGCAAGUCGAACGGAAAGGCCCUGCUUUUGUGGGGUGCUCGAGUGGCGAACGGGUGAGUAACACGUGAGUAACCUGCCCUUGACUUUGGGAUAACUUCAGGAAACUGGGGCUAAUACCGGAUAGGAGCUCCUGCUCCAUGGUGGGGGUUGGAAAGUUUCGGCGGUUGGGGAUGGACUCGCGGCUUAUCAGCUUGUUGGUGGGGUAGUGGCUUACCAAGGCUUUGACGGGUAGCCGGCCUGAGAGGGUGACCGGCCACCAUGGGCCUGCGAUACGGCCCAGUGUCCUACGGGAGGCAGCAGUGGGAAAUAUUGCACAAUGAGCGGGAGCCUGAUACAGCAACGCCGCGUGCGGGAUGACGGCCUUCGGGUUGUAAACCGCUUUCGCCUGUGACGAAGCGUGAGUGACGGUAAUGGGUAAAGAAGCACCGGCUAACUACGUG